AUGGCUCAGGAUGAACGCUGGCGGCAGGCUUAAUACAUGCAAGUCGAACGGUAACAGAGCUAGCAAUAGCUGCUGACGAGUGGCGGAUGGGUGCGUAACGCGUAUGCAACCUACCUGUAAUUGGAACAUAACGUUGAGAAAUUAGCGCUAAUAUUCCAUGUGGAUAUGAGACGGCAUCGUUUUAUAUUUAAAGAUUAAUUGAUUACAGAUGGGCAUGCGUAUCAUUAGCUAGUUGGUAAGGUAACGGCUCACCAAGGCAACGAUGAUUAGGGGUUCUGAGAGGAUAUCCCCCCACACUGGAACUGAGACACGGUCCAGACUCCUACGGGAGGCAGCAGUAGGGAAUAUUGGGCAAUGGAGGCAACUCUGACCCAGCCAAUGCCGCGUGAAGGAAUACAGCCCUACGGGUUUUAAACUUCUUUUAUUAUAGAGUAACCGGAGGUACGUGUACCUCCCUGCAAGUAUAUAAUGAAUAAGGAUCGGCUAACUCCGUGCCAGCCGCUGC
rnacentral:rRNA from 1 species